AACGAACGCUGGCGGCAUGCUUAACACAUGCAAGUCGAACGGUAACAGGCUUUCUGGUGCUGACGAGUGGCGAACGGGUGAGUAAUGCAUCGGAACGUGCCCAGAGGUGGGGGAAAACGCAGCGAAAUCUGGGCUAAUCCCGCAUGUGAUCUGAGGAUUAAAGCGGGGGACCGGGCAGCUAUGUUUGGCCUGGCGCCUUUGGAGCGGCCGAUGUCAGAUUGGGUAGUUGGUGGGUUUAAGGCCUUCCAAGCCGACGCUCUGUAGCUGGUCUGAGAGGACGACCAGAGACACUGGGACUGAGACACGGCCCAGACUCCUGCGGGAGGCAGCAGUGGGGAAUUUUUGGCGAUGGGGGCAAGCCUGAUCCAAGAAUGCCGCGUGAGGGAAGAAGGCGUUAGGGUUGUAAACCGAUUUUGUACGGAACGAAAAAAAGCUGGCUAAUCCCGGAGGAUGAUGACGGUACCGUAAGAAGAAGCACCGGCUAACUACGUG
rnacentral:rRNA from 1 species